rnacentral:rRNA from 1 species
GACGAGGGGUCCUAGCGUUGUUCGGAAUUACUGGGCGUAAAGCGUAUGUAGGCGGCUUUUCAAGUCAGGUGUGAAAUCCCAUGGCUUAACCAUGGAACUGCAUUUGAAACUGUAAAGCUUGAGUAUUGGAGAGGAUGGUAGAAUUCCUGGUGUAGUGGUGAAAUACGUAGAUAUCAGGAGGAAUACCGGAGGCGAAGGCGGCAUCUGCCGAAAUACUGACGCUGAGAUACGAAAGCGUGGGGAUCAAACAGG